rnacentral:rRNA from 1 species
AUGCCGACUGAUCGAGCGCCCGGCCCUGAUGGUUUUAGUGGAGUUUUUCUCAAAGCGUGUUGGCCUAUCAUCAAACAAGACUUCUAUAACCUUUGUGACAAAUUUCAUCAAGGUGAAUUGAACCUCACAAGUAUAAACGAUGGCCUGAUAACCCUAAUCCCAAAAACCAACUCACCGGAGAAUGUGAAUGACUACAGACCGAUCACGCUGCUCAGUUGCUGCCUUAAGCUGAUCACCAAGCUUCUCGCCAACCGCCUUCAACAUGUCAUUUUAAAAAUCAUUCACACUAACCAGUAUGGUUUCAUCAAAGGGUGA